rnacentral:rRNA from 1 species
GGAAUAUUGCGCAAUGGGCGAAAGCCUGACGCAGCAACGCCGCGUGAGUGAUGAAGGUCUUCGGAUCGUAAAGCUCUGUCGGCAGGGAAGAAAAUCCAGAUGGCUAAUAUCCAUUUGGACUGACGGUACCUGCAAAGGAAGCACCGGCUAACUCUGUGCCAGCAGCCGCGGUAAUACAGAGGGUGCAAGCGUUGUUCGGAAUUAUUGGGCGUAAAGAGCGCGUAGGCGGUUUGCUAAGUCUGGUGUGAAAGCCCUCAGCUUAACUGAGGAAGUGCAUUGGAUACUGGCAGGCUUGAGUGUGAGAGAGGAUCGUGGAAUUCCUGGUGUAGCGGUGAAAUGCGUAGAUAUCAGGAGGAACACCAGUGGCGAAGGCGGCUUUCUGGUCUGUAACUGACGCUGAGGCGCGAAAGCGUGGGGAGCAAA